rnacentral:rRNA from 1 species
CCUACGGGUGGCAGCAGUGAGGAAUAUUGGUCAAUGGACGCGAGUCUGAACCAGCCAAGUAGCGUGAAGGAUGACUGCCCUACGGGUUGUAAACUUCUUUUAUAUGGGAAUAAAAUGUUCCACGUGUGCCAUUUUGUAUGUACUUUAUGAAUAAGGAUCGGCUAACUCCGUGCCAGCAGCCGCGGUAAUACGGAGGAUCCGAGCGUUAUCCGGAUUUAUUGGGUUUAAAGGGAGCGUAGAUGGGUUGUUAAGUCAGUUGUGAAAGUUUGCGGCUCAACCGUAAAAUUGCAGUUGAUACUGGCAGUCUGGAGUACAGUAGAGGUAGGCGGAAUUCGUGGUGUAGCGGUGAAAUGCUUAGAUAUCACGAAGAACUCCGAUUGCGAAGGCAGCUCACUAAACUGCAACUGACACUGAUGCUCGAAAGUGUGGGUAUCAAACAGGAUUAGAUACCCGGGUAGUC